UAAUAGGCUGGAGCAGUCCACCCACUCUCAAAACUGGCUCAAGAAGCAGCUAAGAAUGGAUCUUGAAAACCAUUUACGCUCGCCCACCGUGCCUGCCCUCCCAUGGACCUUAUCCCUGAGGCUCUGAGUCACCUGCUGGGCCCAAGGAACGGAGCCAUCACAAAAGUCUCAACACAGAGCAGCAUUGUCCCCAGGGUCAGGAGGGGCUGGAAACCAAAGGGAACUGAGAAGACAAGCCUGGAAAGGGAUGGUUUGCCAGACGACGCAUGCGCCUCCUCGUGCCGGCCAAGCCCACUUCCUGCCUGUCUCCAGCUUCAUAGCUCAAGUUUAUAUCUCCAUCCCAGAAAACCCACUUGGGCUUGGCUUGUUGGCAUCUCCCACUUUCUACUCUCUGCCUCGCCCUGCGUUGCUCUGAAAAUUGUGCACAGGCUAUUUCCUUUUUCUUCUCCAGCGCAUUCUUCUUUAAAGCCUGUAAGAUAAAAACAACGUCCUGAAAAUGCUGCCUUUAAGGGUGCCCGUCCUCUCUCUUCUGUUCCCUACACCUAACCAAAUCUGCUGUGAUUGGUCGGUGUGAGCAAGGCCCUCUGCAGCAGGGAGCGAUGGUAGAUGAAGGAGAAUCUGGGGGAGUCUUGAUGGGGUAUGACAAAGGCAGGGUGAUGGUACAGUGACGAAUUGGGGACAUUACUCCAGUUCUCUCCAUAGUCCGUGACUAUGACGAUUGUCAACCAUAGAUUGUUGAGAAUAAAUCUCUAGUUAAAUAAACACCGGGGACCAGAAAAGGCCUUAGGAGGCCAAGCAUUUCAUUCACUGAGAAGCGGAUCCUCAGCCAGAGCAGACCAGAGGUUGGCAAAUCCGUCUGCACCUGUGCGAAACAGCUCAACUCCUUAGAAAGCUCUUUGGACAUCAGCUCAAAAAUCUACCCCCAGCACCAAACUGUAAAGGGGGCCAGCCUUCUCCACUCUUCUUGGUAUCCGUGCCCUUUAUGUGCAGUCUAGACAUUUGGAGCUUAUGUUACAACUUACUCAGGUUAAAUGUGAUGCCAUGCCAUUAACGCGCCUGAGCUCGGAGGGGCUUCUCAUUCUCCCCAGAUCAAACCCCAUCUCCUCUUAAGAAGAUGGAUAAACAAGGAAAACUGGUUCCUCUUAGCUUCUGCCACCUGUGAGCAAAUAAGUGCAGACCACCUGGUGACUGAUUGCUGAGAGCUAGGGAACAAACCCCAGCCCAGGGCUGUAGACCCACCCAGCUGAGCCCCAUCCAAAUUACCAGCUCUCAGAAUCACAGACUAAAUCCAUGACUAUUGCUUUUGUCAGUAAAUUAAUGGGUGUUUACCUACCUACGAAAAAGGAGGAAAGGGAUACAUCCCAUCUAAGCCCCCUACGGCUGUGCUAGAUACAGAAGAGUCUUGUCCCUCCUGUGUGAGGAGGGCCCUUUAAAUAGGAAAGUAAGUCUCUUUGCCUCUAAGUCUCAGCAUGGCUCCUGGGGGGGGGGUCAUCCAAGCUAGCUCCCUCCUCGAAGGAAAAGUCAUGCACCCAGGUGGCCUUUACCCUUUCCACUACUUAGUGCCUGCCCAGUAGCAACAUCAGAAGAAUUCCUCCGGUGUCAGCAUCCUCCAGUGACACCCUGUCCACCUCGAGGGGCACUCUGACUAUCCCAGAACUCCAAGAGUCCAAUCUCUCAGCACAUGUAAUUGGAAAUUAAGAGACGUGGAAAAACUGAGUUGAGGAGGGCACCAAACUCACCAUAAAAACAUUGAAAUCGAUUAAUCCUCAAAGCCACCUUCUGACCCAAAUCUAAACUGCCCAGAAAAUCUCCCAAACAAAUGUGGUUAAGCAGGCUUCCCAUAGAGGCUUGCCCCAUGGCCAGAACAAGGGAGGAGCCAGGGGCUGGCUUCCAGCAUCCACUCCACAUGGAGUCAACAUGGCACACUGGACUUGGGCUUGGGGUCUGAAGAGGAAGGUCAUCGGCCCCACCACAGGAGCCAGUGCAGACCAUGGCAGCAUCCCUCAGAACCAGGCCCAGCAGGAAGCAGUGUGGUGGGGAACGGCCGGCUGCCAUCAGUGAGGUUGUCUGGCCAAUGGCCAUGCUGCAGCCUGCAGCCUGCCAGUUUCAAAGCAGUCCUCACAGCCUGGCUUCCUGUUUUUUUCUUUGCACUCCCUGUGUGUCAUGGCACAAUUAUUCUGAGAGAUGUUCUCAAAAUGGGCUCGAUGUCCAAUUUUCUUUCCCUAAUAACAGUGCGGGGGGCGGAAGGGGGGUGUAAGGGUGAGGAAGGCAGAAAGACAGGAAGAACUCUAAACCUCAGAAAAGGAUAGAAACAACUUCAAAAUUCAAAUUUUCAACGAGAAUAUCAAAGUCAUCUAUUCCACAGUCUACCCUGUACCUACCCGAGCUGUUCCCCUCCCACGGGCCACACCAUGGAGGCUGAAAUGAACAAGAAGACUUUGGGGAGAGGGGCCAUAGAAGACUUUGAAACUCCCUUCCUAGAGCCUAGAACUCAUCGGCAAGGAUGGUGACAAGGUCAAGUGGCCGGUGGCACAGACCUGGAAUGCUGCCUUCCAGACUAUUUCUCAACCACAUAAGUGGCUUUGGCAGGACUCAACACGCAACAAAGAAUAGCUCUGCCCUAUAGGACUCCUCUGUCUGCUUCUGGGUAGAGUCUUCAGGUCUCAUCCCAUGCUCAGGAAAGAAUUUAUGAUCCUGUCAGAAGGUAGAGGCCCAGGGGAUGAAUGUGUUCAAGGUCUUCACUGUGUCUUGCUAUUAGAUUGGGCGUUGAUUGGUUAGGAUGUAUCUGUGAGUAUGAAUGCAGCGGCAGAGGGAACCUGGGGAGAUAACCCAGUCAAUAAAGUGCUUACCUUGCAAACAC
rnacentral:sRNA from 1 species